rnacentral:rRNA from 1 species
GAUGAACGCUAGCUACAGGCUUAACACAUGCAAGUCGAGGGGAAACGAUAGAGAAGGCUUGCUUUUUCUUGGCGUCGACCGGCGCACGGGUGAGUAACGCGUAUCCAACCUGCCCACCACUUGGGAAUAACCUUGCGAAAGUAAGACUAAUACCCAAUGAUAUCUCUAGAAGACAUCUGAAGGAGAUUAAAGAUUUAUCGGUGCUGGAUGGGGAUGCUUCUGAUUAACUCGGUGGCGGGGUAACGGCCCACCAAGGCGACGAUCAGUAGGGGUUCUGAGAGGAAGGUCCCCCACAUUGGAACUGAGACACGGUCCAAACUCCUACGGGAGGCAGCAGUGAGGAAUAGUGGUCAAUGGGCGAGAGCCUGAACCAGCCAAGUAGCGUGCAGGAUGACGGCCCUAUGGGUUGUAAACUGCUUUUAUAAGGGAAUAAAGUGAGCCUCGUGAGGCUUUUUGCAUGUACCUUAUGAAUAAGGACCGGCUAACUCCGUGCCAGCCGCCGCGGUAA